rnacentral:rRNA from 1 species
GAUGAACGCUGGCGGCGUGCCUAAUACAUGCAAGUCGAGCGAACGGACGAGAAGCUUGCUUCUCUGAUGUUAGCGGCGGACGGGUGAGUAACACGUGGAUAACCUACCUAUAAGACUGGGAUAACUUCGGGAAACCGGAGCUAAUACCGGAUAAUAUUUUGAACCGCAUGGUUCAAAAGUGAAAGACGGUCUUGCUGUCACUUAUAGAUGGAUCCGCGCUGCAUUAGCUAGUUGGUAAGGUAACGGCUUACCAAGGCAACGAUGCAUAGCCGACCUGAGAGGGUGAUCGGCCACACUGGAACUGAGACACGGUCCAGACUCCUACGGGAGGCAGCAGUAGGGAAUCUUCCGCAAUGGGCGAAAGCCUGACGGAGCAACGCCGCGUGAGUGAUGAAGGUCUUCGGAUCGUAAAACUCUGUUAUUGGGGAAGAACAUAUGUGUAAGUAACUGUGCACAUCUUGACAGUACCUAAUCAGAAAGCCACGGCUAACUACGUG